rnacentral:rRNA from 1 species
UACGUAGGGGGCAAGCGUUGUCCGGAUUUAUUUGGCGUAAAGAGCUUGUAGGCGGUCUGUCGCGUCUGCUGUGAAAAUCCGGGGCUCAACCCCGGACUUGCAGUGGGUACGGGCAGACUAGAGUGUGGUAGGGGAGACUAAUUCCUGGUGUAGCGGUGAAAUGCGCAGAUAUCAGGAGGAACACCGAUGGCGAAGGCAGGUCUCUGGGCCACUACUGACGCUGAGAAGCGAAAGCAUGGGGAGCGAACAGG